AAAUUGAAGAGUUUGAUCAUGGCUCAGAUUGAACGCUGGCGGCAGGCCUAACACAUGCAAGUCGAACGGUAACAGGAAGCAGCUUGCUGCUUCGCUGACGAGUGGCGGACGGGUGAGUAAUGUCUGGGAAACUGCCUGAUGGAGGGGGAUAACUACUGGAAACGGUGGCUAAUACCGCAUAACGUCGCAAGACCAAAGAGGGGGACCUUCGGGCCUCUUGCCAUCAGAUGUGCCCAGAUGGGAUUAGCUUGUUGGUGAGGUAACGGCUCACCAAGGCGACGAUCCCUAGCUGGUCUGAGAGGAUGACCAGCCACACUGGAACUGAGACACGGUCCAGACUCCUACGGGAGGCAGCAGUGGGGAAUAUUGCACAAUGGGCGCAAGCCUGAUGCAGCCAUGCCGCGUGUAUGAAGAAGGCCUUCGGGUUGUAAAGUACUUUCAGCGGGGAGGAAGGUGUUGUGGUUAAU
rnacentral:rRNA from 1 species